rnacentral:rRNA from 1 species
UACGGAGGGGGCUAGCGUUGUUCGGAAUUACUGGGCGUAAAGCGCACGUAGGCGGCUUUGUAAGUUAGAGGUGAAAGCCCGGGGCUCAACUCCGGAAUUGCCUUUAAGACUGCAUCGCUAGAAUUGUGGAGAGGUAAGUGGAAUUCCGAGUGUAGAGGUGAAAUUCGUAGAUAUUCGGAAGAACACCAGUGGCGAAGGCGGCUCACUGGACCGGUAUUGACGCUGAGGUGCGAAAGCGUGGGGAGCAAACAGGG